rnacentral:rRNA from 1 species
AGCGCAGGCGGUGCGACAAGUCUGAUGUGAAAGCCCGGGGCUCAACCCCGGUACUGCAUUGGAAACUGUCGUACUAGAGUGUCGGAGGGGUAAGUGGAAUUCCUAGUGUAGCGGUGAAAUGCGUAGAUAUUAGGAAGAACACCAGUGGCGAAGGCGGCUUACUGGACGAUAACUGACGCUGAGGCUCGAAAGCGUGGGGAGCAAACA